UUUAAGUACACUGUGGGAGCAAAAGAUUUCCCCAACUCUAUUGCAAGACAGCUAUAUUCCAAGCAGACGAAGAGACCAAUCAGAGAGCAGCAGCAUCUAAACAGGAAGAACUCUGGAGGGUUUUACAUCAUAAAUGACGGGGGUUGAAACAUCUGAAAGAAGGUGCCGCUGCAGGGACACAAAGAAGAAUGGAGAAGAGAAACUGACUGGCUGAAGGGCGAGAAACCAAAAAAAACACACACGAUUGAACAAUUGAACCAUCUCCUCCAUUCUCAAACAGAAUGUGGAAGGAAAAGCUGCCGACACUGAGAAGAUAAAAUGGCACGCAAAAAAGCCAAAGGAGCAGGCAAGAAAAAAGAUGCCAAGGAGAAGCCUGAUGAUGCCAAGGAGAAGCCUGAUGAUGCCAAGCCUGCAGGGGAUGAAGGAGAAAAAAUUAUAAGUGAAAAAACACCCUUGGAAAAAAUAAUGAAUUUUUUUCAAACUCCACUGGGUCUAUUUCUGGCCAUAGUAAUCACCAUCUUCCUUGUUUUCUUGGCAGUACAAGCUGUCAUUAUGUGUCUGAAUGAGUGGGAAAAAACAGCUGACCUACGACAUGCAAUGCAGCUCGUUAAGACAUUUAUGAUGAGAAAAGAUUCAAGCUAUGAAGAUAAGGAUGAUAUUGAAACAAUUUUUGAUGCAGACAAGGUUGCAGAAGAGUUAGCUGUACUGGCUGUAAUGCUUAGUCAAUUGGAAGAAGAAAUAAUCAAAAUUCGUUACAAAUUGAAUCAUGACUGGAUGGCCCAUAAAGAUGCAAUCUAUUUAUUUGUUGUUCAACCACAGAACUGGACUGAAUCAAGAAAAUUUUGUAUGAGACAGAAUGCUAAACUGCUUCGGGUUGAAAAUGCUGAGGAGGAGGAGUUCAUAGAAGGAAUAGCCUAUGGAAAGCACAACUCUUAUUGGAUUGGAGCAAUUAAGGAAUCUAACAAAUGGAUAUGGUUGGAUGACAAGACAGAAGUGAAGCUAUUAUACUGGGCUGAAAAGAGCCCGAGAAAAGAAGAUACGACACCAGACCAGCCAUUUUGUAUGAGGUUAAAGAAUGACUGCACCAUACCAAGAAAAUGUUGGACUGAUAUUAGAUGCAAUUAUUGGGCACGGUCAAUCUGUAAGAUUAAGCCUCUGAAAAAAUGGAUGAACUGA
rnacentral:lncRNA from 1 species